AAAGGGGCUGCCUCUGAGAUAUAUCACCUUAGCUGGGAUUUUCAGAUGACACAACUCAAAGGGGGCCUGUGGGCACAGGGCUGUGGAUGAAAAUAAAGCAUGGCAGGAGUGCAGAAGAACAAUGCCAGGAAGGCUGCAUUUCAGAGUGACCAAGGCUGGUGAGGAAUGCUAAGGACAACAGAAAGAUUGCUUCAUCCAUAUGAAGAAAGAGGGAGAAGGGAAGCCAUGCCUCCUGCUGGGGCAGAUGGUCUGCUAGUGACAGAUGACAGGGAGAAAGCCGAACAAUCCACUCCCAGGCGUCCUCUGCCUUCUCCACCGGGAAUAAGGAGCUGCAUCUUGGAGAGGCUGGAACAAAUGCCAAAAAGAAGGAUCCAGAGCUUAAAGUAGGAGACGGGAGAGCAGAUCCUGUGGUAGUGAUGGUGAUGAGGCUGCUACUGGUGAUUGUUUGAAAGUGCCAAGAGAUAAGUGCAAGCCAAGCUCCCCCAUCCAGUUUUGCCUGCCUCUCAGGUGGGGGCACGGCUGCCUGUGUGGUGGGGAGUCCAU
rnacentral:lncRNA from 1 species